rnacentral:rRNA from 1 species
CGGCUUAGCCAUGCGAGGUACUUGUAGCAAUACAAACCGCACUGCUCAGUAACACGUAGUUAACCUGACCUUAGGACGGAGAUAAUCCUGGGAAACUGGGCGUAAUAUCCGAUAGGCGAUAAUUGCUGGAAGGCAUCUUCGCCCAAAGCAGCAAUGUGCCUAGGAUGGGACUGCGGCGGAUUAGCUCGUUGUUGAGGUAAUUGCUCAACAAGGCGAUAAUCUGUACGGGUCGUGAGAGCGAUAGCCCGGAGAUGGCUUCUGAGACAUUAAGCCAGGCCCUACGGGGCGCAGCAGGCGCGAAAACUUUGCAAUGCCCGAAAGGGUGACAAGGGAAUCCUGAGUGAUCUCGCAAUGCGGUAUCUUUUGUACACUGUAAAUAGGUGUAUGAAUAAGGGGUGGGUAAGACGGUUGCCAGCCGCCGCGGUAAUAACCGCGCCCCGAGUGGUAGUCACGUUUAUUGGGCCUAGAGCGUCCGUAGCUGGUUUGAUAAGUCUCUGGUGAAAACCGUUAGUAAACUAACGGGAGUGCUGGAGAUACUAUCAGACUUGAGACCGGGAGAGGCUAAGGGUAUUCUGCAGGUAAGAGUAAAAUCUUUUAAUCUGCAGAGGACCACCUGUGGCGAAGGCGCUUAGCUGGAACGGGUCUGACAGUGAGGGACGAAAGCGUGGGGAGCGACCGGGAUUAGAUACCCCGUUAGUCCACGCCGUAAACGAUGCCCACUUGGUGUCGCACAAUCUUUGAGAUUCUGCGGUGCCGUAGCGAAGGUGUUAAGUGGGCCGCCUGGGAAGUACGACCGCAAGGUUGAAACUUAAGGGAAUUGGCGGGGGAGCACUACCAGGGGUGGAGGCUGCGGUUUAAUUGGAUUCAACGCCAGGAACCUUACCCGAAAAGACAGCAGAAUGACGGUCACUCUUAAGGGGUUACCUGACAAGCUGAGAAGUGCUGCAUGGCCGUCGUCAGUUCGUGCCGUGAGGUGUCCUGUUAAGUCAGGAAACGAACGAGACCCGUGCCGCUAGUUGCUACUAUCCUCUCCGGAGGGUAUGCACUCUAGUGGGACCGCUGGUGCUAAAUCAGAGGAAGGGGCGGGCUACGGCAGGUCAGUAUGGCCUAAAUUUUUGGGGAUACACGCGGCCUACAAUGCGUAGGACAAUGAGAUGCAACACCGUGAGGUGAAGCCAAUCUCCUAAACCUACGCUUAGUUCGGAUCGUGGGCUGCAACUCGCCCACGUGAAGUCGGAAUCCCUAGUAAGCGAAGGUCAUCAUCUUUCGCUGAAUACGUCCCUGCUCCUUGCACACACCGCCCGUCAAGUCAACCGAGUGAACUUUUGGUGAAGCCUAUGAUGAAUAGUUUGAACCAAAAGUUCGCAAGGUGGAUUAAGUCGUAACAAGGUAGCCGUACGGGAACGUGCGGCUG